rnacentral:lncRNA from 1 species
GGGUAGCGAGAGGCGUCGGGAUCGCGGGCGCCGGCUGAGCCAGCGGCUGCUGGGAGGCUGUGUGCGCACGCCUGCGGGGCGAGGAGGCCGGGCCCUGCGCCUCAGGCCUGAGAACUGGGAGGAAGCUGGAGAAAAGAUGCCCUCUGAAUAUUUGUGUUUGGCUGCCCAGGCUCGCCUUGACUCCAAAUGGUUGAAAACAGAUAUACAGAUGGAGUCUUGCUCUGUUGCCCAGGCUAGAGUGCAGUGGUGCCAUCUCGGCUUACCGCAAGCUCCGCCUCCCGGGUUCACGCCAUUGUCCUGCCUCAGCGUCCCGAGUACCUGGAACUAUAGGUGUCCACCAUCAUACCUGGCCAAUUUUUUGUAUUUUCAGUAGAGACGGGGUUUCACUGUGUCAGCCAAGAUGGUCUCCAUCUUCUGACCUCGUGAUCCACCGGCCUUGGCCUCUUAGAGUGCUGGGAUUACAGGCAUAAGCCACCACUCCCGGCCGAUAUAUUGGUUUGUUUAUGAAAAUUAUACUGGAUCUGUUACAGAUGAUAGUGUCAAACCAAGUGGAACAAAGAAAGAAGAUCUGGAUGACAAAGAGAAAAAAGAUGAAACUCCUGCACCUGUAUAUAGGGCCAAGUCAAUUCUGGAGAGCUGGGUAUGGGAGUAAGCAACCAGGGAUGUUCACGGAACGCCAGGCACCAAAAGGCCAGAAGCAUGCCCCUGCAGGACCAGCACUUGGCUCUGGCCAUCCUGCUGGAGCUGGCUGUGCAGAGAGGCACGCUGAGCCAAAUGUUGUCUGCCAUCCUGUUGUUGCUUCAGCUGUGGGACAGCAGGGCACAGGAAACUGACAAUGAGCGUUCUGCCCAGGGCACCAGCACCUUGCUUUUGUCCUUGCUGCAAACGUUCCAGAGCAUCAUUUGCGGUAAGGAUACGCCCCCCUCCGAGGGCAACAUGCACCUUUUGUCUGGCCCUCUGAGCCCCAGUGAGAGUUUCCUGAGGUACCUCACCCUCCACAAGACAACGAGCUUGCCAUUGAUCUGCAACAAACGGCAGUUGUUGUCAUGGCCCAUUUAGAAGAUCUGGCUACACCCUGUAGAUGCCUCUGCCGUGUAGCUGUCCGACGUCUCAUAAGAGAGUCAUUUUUUUACAGGUCAGAACUGUAGAAAUAAUGAGGAAGUGACACUUAUAUGCAAAGCUGAUUUGGAGAACCAUAAUAAAGAUGGAGGCUUCU